rnacentral:rRNA from 1 species
ACGCACGCUGGCGGCGUGCUUAACACAUGCCAGUCGAACGGAAAGGCCCUGCUUUUGUGGGGUGCUCGAGUGGCGAACGGGUGAGUAACACGUGAGUAACCUGCCCUUGACUUUGGGAUAACUUCAGGAAACUGGGGCUAAUACCGGAUAGGAGCUCCUGCUGCAUGGUGGGGGUUGGAAAGUUUCGGCGGUUGGGGAUGGACUCGCGGCUUAUCAGCUUGUUGGUGGGGUAGUGGCUUACCAAGGCUUUGACGGGUAGCCGGCCUGAGAGGGUGACCGGCCACAUUGGGACUGAGAUAUGGCCCAGACUCCUACGGGAGGCAGCAGUGGGGAAUAUUGCACAAUGGGCGGAAGCCUGAUGCAGCAACGCCGCGUGCGGGAUGACGGCCUUCGGGUUGUAAACCGCUUUCGCCUGUGACGAAGCGUGAGUGACGGUAAUGGGUAAAGAAGCACCGGCUAACUACGUG